UGGGGAAUCUUCCGCAAUGGACGAAAGUCUGACGGAGCAACGCCGCGUGAGUGAUGACGGUCUUCGGAUUGUAAAGCUCUGUUAAUCGGGACGAAUGGUUUGUGUGCAAAUAGUGCAUAGACAUGACGGUACCGGAAUAGAAAGCCACGGCUAACUACGUGCCAGCAGCCGCGGUAAUACGUAGGUGGCAAGCGUUAUCCGGAUUCAUUGGGCGUAAAGCGCUCGUAGGCGGUCUGUUAGGUCGGCAAGUUAAAUCCGGGGGCUCAACCCCCGUCCGCUUCCGAUACCGGCAGACUUGAGUUUGGUAGGGGAAGGUGGAAUUCCUAGUGUAGCGGUGGAAUGCGCAGAUAUUAGGAAGAACACCGGUGGCGAAGGCGGCCUUCUGGGCCAUAACUGACGCUGAGGAGCGAAAGCUAGGGGAGCGAACAGG
rnacentral:rRNA from 1 species